UGGGGAAUUUUGGACAAUGGGGGCAACCCUGAUCCAGCAAUGCCGCGUGUGUGAAGAAGGCCUUCGGGUUGUAAAGCACUUUUGUCCGGAAAGAAAUCGCCCUGGCUAAUAUCCGGGGUGGAUGACGGUACUGGAAGAAUAAGCACCGGCUAACUACGUGCCAGCAGCCGCGGUAAUACGUAGGGUGCAAGCGUUAAUCGGAAUUACUGGGCGUAAAGCGUGCGCAGGCGGUUGUGCAAGACAGAUGUGAAAAUCCCCGGGCUUAACCUGGGAAUGGCAUUUGUGACUGCACGGCUAGAGUGUGUCAGAGGGGGGUAGAAUUCCACGUGUAGCAGUGAAAUGCGUAGAUAUGUGGAGGAACACCGAUGGCGAAGGCAGCCCCCUGGGAUAACACUGACGCUCAUGCACGAAAGCGUGGGGAGCAAACAGGAUUAGAUACCCUGGUAGUCCACGCCCUAAAACGAUGUCAACUAGUUGUCGGGUCUUAAUUGACUUGGUAACGCAGCUAACGCGUGAAGUUGACCGCCUGGGGAGUACGUCGCAAGAUUAAAACUCAAAUGAAUUGACGGGGGUCAUAGCU
rnacentral:rRNA from 1 species